rnacentral:rRNA from 1 species
CCCGCACAAGCAGUGGAGUAUGUGGUUUAAUUCGACGCAACGCGAAGAACCUUACCAGGGCUUGACAUCCCCUGACCGCGUAUGAAAGUACGUUUUCACCCUCGGGUGACAGGGAGACAGGUGGUGCAUGGUUGUCGUCAGCUCGUGUCGUGAGAUGUUGGGUUAAGUCCCCGCAACGAGCGCAACCCCUACGUUUAGUUGCUAACGCGUGAAGGCGAGCACUCUAGACGAACUGCCGUUGACAAAACGGAGGAAGGUGGGGAUGACGUCAAAUCAUCAUGCCCCUUAUGUUCUGGGCUACACACGUGCUACAAUGGCCGGUACAGACGGACGCAAAGCCGCGAGGUGGAGCAAAUCGCAGAAAAUCGCCCUCAGUUCGGAUUGGAGUCUGAAACCCGACUCCAUGAAGGUGGAAUCGCUAGUAAUCGCGCAUCAGCAUGGCGCGGUGAAUACGUUCCCGGGUCUU